rnacentral:rRNA from 3 species
GGACUACUGGGGUAUCUAAUCCCGUUUGCUCCCCUGGCUUUCGCGCCUCAGCGUCAGAAGAGAUCCAGUCCGUCGCUUUCGCCACCGGCGUUCCUUCGGAUAUCAACGCAUUUCACCGCUCCACCCGAAGUUCCACAGACCCCUACCUCCCUCGAGACCACCAGUCUCCAAGGCACUUCCCCAGUUGAGCUGGGGGCUUUCACCCCGGACUUGAUGGCCCGCCUACGCGCCCUUUAAGCCCAGUGAUUCCGAACAACGUUCGCACGGUUCGUCUUACCGCGGCUGCUGGCAC